rnacentral:pre_miRNA from 1 species
GGGUGAGUAGUUCGUGUUGGAGAAGCAGGGCACGUGCAAAUUCUAGCUCGAGCAAUCCUUCAUCAGGAGCUUAAAAACUUUGCACUUGCUCRCCUUCUCCAACACAAGCUUCUCACCU